UACGUAGGGGGCAAGCGUUGUCCGGAUUUAUUGGGCGUAAAGAGCGUGUAGGCGGCUUUACAGGUCCGUUGUGAAAACUCGAGGCUCAACCUCGAGACGCCGGUGGAAACCGUAAGGCUAGAGUCCGGAAGAGGAGAGUGGAAUUCCUGGUGUAGCGGUGAAAUGCGCAGAUAUCAGGAGGAACACCAAUUGCGAAGGCAGCUCGCUGGGACGUUACUGACGCUGAGACGCGAAAGCGUGGGGAGCAAACAGG
rnacentral:rRNA from 1 species